rnacentral:rRNA from 1 species
AUUGAACGCUGGCGGCAGGCCUAACACAUGCAAGUCGAACGAGUGGCGGACGGGUGAGUAUUGUCUGGGAAACUGCCCGAUGGAGGGGGAUAACUACUGGAAACGGUAGCUAAUACCGCAUACCAUCGGAUGUGCCCAGAUGGGAUUAGCUUUUAGGUGGGGUAACGGCUCACCUGGGCGACGGGCCCUAGCUGGUCUGAGAGGAUGACCAGCCAGACUGGAACGGAGACACGGUCCAGACGCCUACGGGAGGCAGCAGUGGGGAAUAUUGCACAAUGGGCGCAAGCCUGAUGCAGCCAUGCCGCGUGUAUGAAGAAGGCCUUCGGGUUGUAAAGUACUUUCAGCGGGGAGGCGUUACCCGCAGAAGAAGCACCGGCUAACUCCGUGCCAGCCGCCGCGGUAAUUC